rnacentral:rRNA from 1 species
AGAGUUUGAUCAUGGCUCAGGACGAACGCUGGCGGCGUGCUUAACACAUGCAAGUCGAGCGGAAAGGCCUUUCGGGGUACUCGAGCGGCGAACGGGUGAGUAACACGUGAGUAACCUGCCCUAGGCUUUGGGAUAACCCUCGGAAACGGGGGCUAAUACCGAAUAUUCAUUCCUGACGGCAUCGUUGGGUUUGGAAAGUUUUUCGGCCUGGGAUGGGCUCGCGGCCUAUCAGCUUGUUGGUGGGGUGAUGGCCUACCAAGGCGACGACGGGUAGCCGGCCUGAGAGGGCGACCGGCCACACUGGGACUGAGACACGGCCCAGACUCCUACGGGAGGCAGCAGUGGGGAAUAUUGCACAAUGGGCGGAAGCCUGAUGCAGCGACGCCGCGUGAGGGAUGAAGGCCUUCGGGUUGUAAACCUCUUUCGACAGGGACGAAGCGCAAGUGACGGUACCUGGAGAAGAAGCGCCGGCCAACUACGUGCCAGCAGCCGCGGUAAGACGUAGGGCGCGAGCGUUGUCCGGAUUUAUUGGGCGUAAAGAGCUCGUAGGCGGCUUGUUGCGUCAGCUGUGAAAACCCGCAGCUCAACUGUGGGCUUGCAGCUGAUACGGGCAGGCUUGAGUUCGGUAGGGGAGACUGGAAUUCCUGGUGUAGCGGUGAAAUGCGCAGAUAUCAGGAGGAACACCGGUGGCGAAGGCGGGUCUCUGGGCCGAUACUGACGCUGAGGAGCGAAAGCGUGGGGAGCGAACAGGAUUAGAUACCCUAGUAGUCC